rnacentral:rRNA from 1 species
GAUGAACGCUGGCGGCGUGCCUAAUACAUGCAAGUCGAGCGAACAGACGAGGAGCUUGCUCCUCUGACGUUAGCGGCGGACGGGUGAGUAACACGUGGAUAACCUACCUAUAAGACUGGGAUAACUUCGGGAAACCGGAGCUAAUACCGGAUAAUAUAUUGAACCGCAUGGUUCAAUAGUGAAAGACGGUUUUGCUGUCACUUAUAGAUGGAUCCGCGCCGCAUUAGCUAGUUGGUAAGGUAACGGCUUACCAAGGCAACGAUGCGUAGCCGACCUGAGAGGGUGAUCGGCCACACUGGAACUGAGACACGGUCCAGACUCCUACGGGAGGCAGCAGUAGGGAAUCUUCGGCAAUGGGCGAAAGCGUGACGGAGCAACGCCGCGUGAGUGAUGAAGGUCUUCGGAUCGUAAAACUCUGUUAUUAGGGAAGAACAAAUGUGUAAGCAACUAUGCACGUCUUGACGGUACCUAAUCAGAAAGCCACGGCUAACUACGUG